GAUAGCUCAGUCGGAAGAGCACAAGACUUAAUCUCAGGGUUGUGGGUUCAAGUCCCACAUCGGACA